rnacentral:rRNA from 1 species
AGGAUGAACGCUGGCGGCGUGCCUAACACAUGCAAGUCGAACGUCCUGUCUCGCAAGAGGCAGGGAGUGGCGGACGGGUGAGUACCACGUGGGUCAUCUACCGUGAGGUGAGGAAUACCGGCGAGAAAUCGCCGACAAGACCGCAUAGGCUCGAUGCAAGUCGAGCAAAGCUCUUUCGAGAGAGGGAGCGCCACACGAGGAGCCUGCGCCCGAUUAGCUAGCUGGUGGAGUAACGGUUCACCAGGGCGACGAUCGGUAGCUGGUCUGAGAGGACGAUCAGCCACACUGGGAUUGAGAACGGCCCAGACUCCUACGGGGGGCAGCAGUGAGGAAUUUUCGUCAAUGGGGGCAACCCUGAACGAGCAACGCCGCGUGCAGGAAGAAGUUUUCGGAUCGUAAACUGCUUUUCUCGGGGAAGAGAACGGACGGUACCCGAGGAAUCAGCCCGGCUAAUACGUGCCAGCAGCCGUC